rnacentral:rRNA from 1 species
AUUGAACGCUGGCGGCAGGCCUAACACAUGCAAGUCGAGCGGAUGAAGGGAGCUUGCUCCUGGAUUCAGCGGCGGACGGGUGAGUAAUGCCUAGGAAUCUGCCUGGUAGUGGGGGAUAACGUCCGGAAACGGGCGCUAAUACCGCAUACGUCCUGAGGGAGAAAGUGGGGGAUCUUCGGACCUCACGCUAUCAGAUGAGCCUAGGUCGGAUUAGCUAGUUGGUGGGGUAAAGGCCUACCAAGGCGACGAUCCGUAACUGGUCUGAGAGGAUGAUCAGUCACACUGGAACUGAGACACGGUCCAGACUCCUACGGGAGGCAGCAGUGGGGAAUAUUGGACAAUGGGCGAAAGCCUGGUCCAGCCAUGCCGCGUGUGUGAAGAAGGUCUUCGGAUUGUAAAGCACUUUAAGUUGGGAGGAAGGGCAGUAAGUUAAUACCUUGCUGUUUUGACGUUACCAACAGAAUAAGCACCGGCUAACUUCGU